UUAAUACUCCCUCCGUCCGGAAAUACUUGUCCUAAAAAUGGAUGUAUCUAGAUUUAUUUUAAUUAUAGAUAUAUCCAUUUUAUCCAUUUCUAAGACAAGUAUUUCCGGGCGGAGGGAGUACGAU
rfam:Triticum aestivum genome assembly, contig: Triticum_aestivum_CS42_TGACv1_scaffold_569963_7AS